ACAUGAUGCUGCAGGUCCGUGGGUCACUUGAUGUUCUCUGACCGUCUUCAUCACACAUCUGCGUGUCUCAUCGCGAAUAAACGUACUUCAUGCUUCAGGAAAGGAAAACUUUGCACUGUGUUUACGCAGGACCCAGUCUGGACGUAACCCCGUCACACACCUGAAGCAGGAAUAAAGCGAAAGCUGUGAAGCGCCGCGUGGACGUCCAGCAUCAUUCAGAUAAAAGCCAUAAAUGACAGAGGCUGUGAGCGCGUGUCCUGCUGAUGUGGAGAAAACCGAUGAUUUCAGCCUGAACCAGACAGAGAAACGAGAGAGCUGCGCAGUCUUCCUCCACCACACGAAU